ACUCACGCGGGAAUCUUACCGGGUCCGGACACACUGAGGAUUGACAGACAAAUACACACACUUUUACGGUGUGUGCAUGAAAUAUGCUAGUUCUUUCAUGAUUAUGUGAUAGGUGGUGCAUGGCCGUUCUUAGUUCGUGGAGUGAUCUGUCUGCUUAAUUGCGUUUCACUAAAGGCACAUACACAUAAUAUUGAUGUGUUGUGUAUAAUUUAUAAUUGUACGCAUACACACAUAUUAUAUUGUGCUUUGAAAGCAACGAACGUGACCGCAACCUCUUGUUGCCUGUAUAUAUGUGUAUUUUAUACACACCACAGGCUAUUAUAAACUAGAGGGACCGCUGUUACUUUCUUUUAAACCAGAGGAAGGUUGCGGCAAUAACAGGUCUGUGAUGCCCUUAGAUGUUCCGGGCUGCACACGUGCUACAAUGAUCAUUGCAGUGCGCAUCUCAUUUUGUUAUACACUGCUUGUGCGUAUGUGCACCAUAUAUUUAUAUGUGUGUGUAUGUAUUGCACGCAGUAAAGCCUACUUCGAAAGUUGUGGGUAAUCAAUUUGAAGUAAUGAUUUCUCCAAAUAUAUACUGCACACUCAUAUACAGUGUCUUAUGUCCAUGAAAAUUUUAUUAUUUUUGUGUGUGCAUUCGAUGCUCGUAUGUGCAAUUGUCAAUUCAUGGUGGGGACAGACCAUUGUUAAUUGUUGGUCUCGGUCUUAACUAGGAAUGCCUUGUACGGGUCUUUGGUUCAACAAACCACCCGGAAUACGUCCCUGCCCUUUGUACACACCGCCCGUCGCUCUUACCGAUGGACUUCUCUGUGAGUUUGAGGGACUGGAUUUUAUAUCUAUGGAAACUCAAACGAACAGUGUGGUCUAAAGGAAAGAGAAGUCGUAACAAGGCAUCCGUAGGUGAACCU
rnacentral:rRNA from 1 species